rnacentral:rRNA from 1 species
GACGAACGCUGGCGGCGUGCCUAAUACAUGCAAGUCGAACGCAGUGGGGCCGUGUGCGUAACACGUGGGUAACCUCCCCAUCAGAGGGGAUAACACUUGGAAACAGGUGCUAAACCGAUACUGCUGGAUGGACCCGCGGUGCAUUGGCUAGUUGGUGAGGUAACGGCUCACCAAGGCCAUGAUGCAUAGCCGACCAGAGAGGGUGAUCGCCCACACUGAGACUGUGACACGGCCCCGACUCCUACGGGAGGGAGCAGUAGGGAAUCGUCGGCAAUGGACGAAAGUCUGACCGAGCAACGCCGAGUGAGUGAAGAAGGUUUUCGGAUCGUAAAACUCUGUUGUUAGAGAAGCGGUAUCUAACCAGAAAGCCACGGCUAACUACGUGCCAGCAGCCGCGGUAAUUC